UUAUCCCUAUGGGGGGCAGCAGUGAGGAAUAUUGGUCAAUGGGCGCGAGCCUGAACCAGCCAAGUCGCGUGAGGGAGGACGGCCCUACGGGUUGUAAACCUCUUUUGCCGGGGAGCAACGGGCGUCACGUGUGGCGCCACUGAGAGUACCCGGAGAAAAAGCAUCGGCUAACUCCGUGCCAGCAGCCGCGGUAAUACGGAGGAUGCGAGCGUUAUCCGGAUUUAUUGGGUUUAAAGGGUGCGUAGGCGGAUUUUUACGUCAGCGGUAAAAUGUCCGGGCUCAACCCGGGCCGGCCGUUGAAACUG
rnacentral:rRNA from 1 species